AUGUUGAUCUUCGUGAAGACCCUAAUGACAAAGACCAUCACGUUGGAGGUAGAGUCCUUAGAAACUAUCGACAAUGUGCAUGACCAAGAUAUAGGACAAGGAGGGCAUCCCCCCGGCUAGCAGCGAGUCAUCAUCACCGACGAUCAACUAGAGGACGGAUGCACGCUCAUUGACUACAACAUUCAGAAGGAGUCGAUGUUGCACCUAGUACUCCAUUUGAGGGGGGCUGCGAAAAGAUGA
rnacentral:rRNA from 1 species